rnacentral:sRNA from 1 species
GCCAGGUGUGGUGGCGCAUGCCUGCAAUCCCUGCAACUCAGGAGGCUGAAGCAGGAGUAUCACAAGUUCAAAGCCAGCCUCAGAAACUCAGUGAGAUCUUAAGCAACCUAGUGAGACCCUGCCUCAA